CUGAGCUAGCUGCUUUAUCCAUGUCUGUAGAGGUGGUGGCUUGGUGGACAGGGAAGAAACUGGACAAGGAAGCAUUUCAGAACCAUGCAGAGACAGCCCCUAACUCCAGCUGGCUGAUUCUCUCAGAAAUAAAAGUACAAAGAUGCAAAGCUCUCAGCUACUUCUCCAGCACUAUGCCUGUCUGCUUCCUGCCAUGAUCAUCAUGGACUCAGCCUCUGAAACUACACGAGCCCAGUGGUGGCAUGCACCUUUAAUCCCAGCACUUGGGAGGCAGAGGCAAGUGGAUCUCUAGUCAAGGACAGUCUGGUCUACAAAGCCAAUUCCAGGACAGCCAGGGCUACACCAAGAGAAACCCUGUCUUGAAAAACAAAAACAAACAAACCAACAAAAAAGCCGCACAGCUUCUGGAACAUUCCACCAUCACCCUCAGGAACAGAGGGUCCUGGUUCUCUGCGGACCCCUGGAAGGUCUCUGGGACAUCCUUCCUACAUGGCUGGCAACAAGCUUGGGCACCCCACAACAAACCCCUGUUUGUAAAAGGUUUUAUUUUUGUUUGUUUGCAUGCUUAUAUUUUACAUCUAUGUGUGUUUGCGUGUUUGUACAUUGGAUCCCUUGGAGCUGAAGUUCCAGGCAGUUGUGAGCCACUGAUAUGGGUACUGGGAAUCGAACUCAGGUCCUCUGCCAGAGCUUUUAACCACUGAAUUGUAUCU